AAAUAAGAAUGUGGCAUAUUUCCAAACAGCUGGAGUUUGGAAAAUAUUUCCUGUUGAUGGACUCAGUGCCAACUGGACAAAGGAAUUCUUGAGAUAGCCUUCAAGUGCUUCUUAGGACUGCAGUGCCUAGACAAGCUGACUCUGACCAGUGGUUUCAGGCUCAGCUAUACGUAGGCCUCAGCAGCUUGUAACAGUUUCCAUCUCCAGGCCACACCCCAGGAAGAAAUGGUGAAGGCAGACAGCUUUGUAGAUUUAGAAGGGUGCUUCUUUCUUCCCUUUCUAUUGGUUUUCCCCAGAGAAGACUACGUGUGGAUAUCUACUAUAAAACAUGUGUGCAUGGAAAAUUGUAGGGCCAGAUGCUUCUGGAUUAAGAGAACAUGACCAGGUUUAUCAUGAUGAGGAUAUGGAUUUUAUCCACAGAACAGGGAGGGCAAAAGCAAGCCUGUGGGCACAGUAUGUGAUGAUAAGCACUUUGGAAGGAUUUGUGAAUGAUACAACGGAGUUAUACAAAUCUUUGGAAGUUGAAACACAACUUUCAACUCUUGCUCUAUUUUAUUUAUAAUAAGCUGCUCUGAUGUAC
rnacentral:lncRNA from 1 species